UACGUAGGGGGCAAGCGUUGUCCGGAUUUACUGGGCGUAAAGCGUGCGUAGGUGGUUUGUUAAGUCUGUUGUGAAAGCCCCGGGCUCAACCUGGGAAUGGCAAUGGAUACUGGCAAGCUAGAGUGCGGUAGAGGGUAGUGGAAUUCCCGGUGUAGCGGUGAAAUGCGUAGAGAUCGGGAGGAACACCAGUGGCGAAGGCGGCUACCUGGACCAGCACUGACACUGAGGCACGAAAGCGUGGGGAGCAAACGGG
rnacentral:rRNA from 1 species